UACGUAGGUGGCAAGCGUUGUCCGGAUUUAUUGGGCGUAAAGGGAGCGCAGGCGGUGACUUAAGUCUGAUGUGAAAGCCCACGGCUCAACCGUGGAAGGUCAUUGGAAACUGGGUCACUUGAAUAUAGAAGAGGAAAGUGGAAUUCCAUGUGUAGCGGUGAAGUGCGUAGAUAUAUGGAGGAACACCAGUGGCGAGGGCGACUUUCUGGUCUAUUAUUGACGCUGAGGCUCGAAAGCAUGGGUAGCAAACAGGAUUAGAUA
rnacentral:rRNA from 1 species